rnacentral:lncRNA from 1 species
GAAGCUAUGUCUGUUCAAGUGGGGCGUGCGGACAAUUCUGGACUGUCCACUCCUUGUAAGAAUUCCAACCAUUCUCGCACCAACCAUCUCAUUGAACAAAGUUAAAGUAUAUUCAAGACGGUGAAUUUUUCACAGCUUGUGAAUUAAGCUUAAGCUUCUCCAAGUUAAUUUAGGCUGUUUUCGUGUGUUUCAGACUCUGGAGAUCUGGCCUCGUCUCGCCUAGUGAUGCCUUCCGACAGAUCUCAGGACAGUGAGAGGACUACUCCAAAAAAUAAAACCUCGAAAGGCCUUGUGGAAGCCUUCUCUACCUCUGAGAAACGUGCUGCAGGAUCUUGGUGCAAGGAAAUGUCUAACUUGUCUGGCCUGGUGGAGAGUGCCAAUGGAUUUUGUGGAAACACCCAGUAAGUAUGCAUCACAACUUAUGCUCACCUUUUUGUUUCAUUUCAAAAUUUUAAUAUUCUUUAUCCUUUUCAGGCCCUCAAAAUGCAAGCCCAGCACCUCGGUACAGGGAUCUGUUAACACCCAGUCUAGUGGUGGAUUCAGCAUCAGGUCAAGACACAGUGAUGGAUACAGAGUCAGGUCCCAGUCACGGUGCAGUGAUGGUUCGAGGCACACAGUCAGGUCCCGCUCACGGCGCAGUGAUGGGUUGAGGCACACAGUCAGGUCCAGGUCCCGCUCUCGCUCACGGCGCAGUGAUGGGUUGAGGCACACAGUCAGGUCCAGGUCCCGCUCUCGCUCACGGCGCAGUGAUGGGUUGAGGCACACAGUCAGGUCCAGGUCCCGCUCCCGCUCACGGCACAGUGAUGGUUUGAGGCACACAGUCAGGUCCAGGUCCCGCUCACGGCGCAGUGAUGGUUUGAGGCACACAGUCAGGUCCAGGUCCCGCUCCCGCUCACGGCACAGUGAUGGUUCGAGGCACACAGUCAGGUUCAGACACGAUUGGUCAUGCCAUAGUGAUGUCUCCAGGCCCCCCUAUGACAGGCCAAGGCAUGAUGCAGUGACUGAGACUGGAAGAUGGACAUUCCCAUUGCCUUGGGAUGUGUAUCAGAAAAAGGUCUUAAACCUACUGGUAGACCUUCGCGAUCAACAUAAACGAGCAAUACCUGCCUCUUCAGCCGUGCACAUUGAGAGGAUGGAGACUAUGGAGGAUUUUGAGAGAGAGGAGCAACGGCUCUGUGAUGCACAAGCCUUUGAUGCCCUGGUGCUGCGCAUUGCAAGAAUUGGAGGGAAGAAUAUCAAG